rnacentral:rRNA from 1 species
AUUGAACGCUGGCGGCAUGCCUUACACAUGCAAGUCGAACGGUAACAGGUUAAGCUGACGAGUGGCGAACGGGUGAGUAAUGUAUCGGAACGUGCCCAGUCGUGGGGGAUAACUGCUCGAAAGAGCAGCUAAUACCGCAUACGACCUGAGGGUGAAAGCGGGGGAUCGCAAGACCUCGCGCGAUUGGAGCGGCCGAUAUCAGAUUAGGUAGUUGGUGAGGUAAAGGCUCACCAAGCCGACGAUCUGUAGCUGGUCUGAGAGGACGACCAGCCACACUGGGACUGAGACACGGCCCAGACUCCUACGGGAGGCAGCAGUGGGGAAUUUUGGACAAUGGGCGCAGGCCUGAUCCAGCCAUGCCGCGUGCGGGAAGAAGGCCUUCGGGUUGUAAACCGCUUUUGUCAGGGAAGAAAAGGUUCUGGCUAAUACCUGGGACUCAUGACGGUACCUGAAGAAUAAGCACCGGCUAACUACGUG